rnacentral:lncRNA from 1 species
AGAGCUACAGCGGUCUCCGGGUGGCGAAGUGCGGAGACGGGGUUUUGGAGACGGUGGAUGGAGGAGGGGGAGGGAAAGCUGCCAACUUUGGAUACCAACCCCGUACACCCACCGAAGGGGAUGUCCCACUUUUUCCAGCGCUGGGAGCAAAAAGAUAACAGUGAGCGAGGUUGAAAAGUAAGACAUUGAUUUAAAUAGAAGAAAAACUGUUGUUUCAACCAACGAAGAGAUUCUUUGUUUUCUUAUCUGUAAAAUGUGAAAAAUCGUACCUAACCUACAGGGUGAUUGUGAGGAGUAAUUGAAAUAAAAUUCGAGGAAUUGUGUAACGUGAAGUACCAUGAACAAUAAAACAGGAGGCAGAAUGAAAAGUAAGCCUCUCUGUCGGGUGUUGAUGAGCUUUGGAGCAACGAGAUAAACUCAGCGGGUUUGGUAGUCUAAAUGGCACAAACCCUUAGCAGAGCAACUAGGAAAUAGCUUGUAAAAUUACACGUGCCUACCACUCUUCUAGGAAAAUUCUCGCCCACGUAUCUACAAAUACAAGAAUAUUCAUAGCAAACUUUAUAAGUUGCAAAAGAGCAGGAAACAUAAGUGCCAUUGACAGAAGUAAUAAGUAAAUAGUGGCGUAUUUAUAUAAUAGUAUAUAGCAGGUACGAAGAAUGAACCAGUGCUAUGUUUACUAGCAUGAAAAACCCAAAAAACAGGGUUGGUGGGCGCUUUGGCUCACGCCUGUAAUCCAGCACUUAGGGAGGAUGAAGCGGGAGGAUCGCUUGAGCCCAGGAGUUGGAGAACUGCCUGGGCAAUAUAGCGAGACCCCGUUAUUCACAAAAAGAAAAAAAAAAGACACAAACCAAAACAAAACAAGUUUAACUCCUCUCAUCGCAAGCCGGGUGCGGUGGCGUGUUCCUGUGGUCCCAACUUCUCGGGAAGCUGAGACAGGAGAAUCUCUUAAGCCCAGGAGUUGGAGGCCAGUGGGGACACCCAUCUCUUAGAAAAGGAAAUAAAAAAUAUAUAGUGUAAAAUAACAUCUAUAUAUUUAAAAACGUGCAAAAGAAUAUAAAAUUUUAGGAGUGUACAUAUGUCAUGAAAUUAUAAAGUCAUGUAUUGGAGUAACUAAAAUUUCAAGAUAGUGGUAAACUGGAAGGAGAUGUAAUGGAGAAGAACAGAAAGGCUUCACAUGCCUUGGUAAUGUUUUGUUAUUUAGGUUAAUGUUAAUUUCACAAGCAUGCCUUAUAUUAUUGUUUGUACCUUCUGGUAUGUCUGAAAUAUUUAAUAAUAAAUGAAUUUCUAAAGUAAAUCUCCUCUCCACAUCCUUCCUCAGCCAUCCAGUUUCCUCUAUUAGCUAGCUAUAGUUUAUCUUUUAUUAUUUGUUCUUGCAUUGAUAUUUAUUGCUU